CACGCNGUAAACGAUGGGUGCUAGGUGUUAGGCCCUUUCCGGGGCUUAGUGCCGGAGCUAACGCAAUAAGCACUCCGCCUGGGGAGUACGACCGCAAGGUUGAAACUCAAAGGAAUUGACGGGGGCCCGCACAAGCGGUGGAGCAUGUGGUUUAAUUCGAAGCAACGCGAAGAACCUUACCAGGUCUUGACAUCCCGAUGCUAUUCUUAGAGAUAGGAAGUUACUUCGGUACAUCGGAGACAGGUGGUGCAUGGUUGUCGUCAGCUCGUGUCGUGAGAUGUUGGGUUANNNNNNGCAACGAGCGCAACCCUUAUUGUUAGUUGCCAUCAUUAAGUUGGGCACUCUAGCGAGACUGCCGGUAAUAAACCGGAGGAAGGUGGGGAUGACGUCAAAUCAUCAUGCCCCUUAUGACCUGGGCUACACACGUGCUACAAUGGUCGGUACAACGAGUUGCGAGCCGGUGACGGCAAGCUAAUCUCUGAAAGCCGAUCUCAGUUCGGAUUGGAGGCUGCAACUCGCCUCCAUGAAGUCGGAGUCGCUAGUAAUCGCGGAUCAGCACGCCGCGGUGAAUACGUUCCCGGGCCU
rnacentral:rRNA from 1 species